CGUAGGAGGCGAGCGUUAUCCGGAUUCACUGGGCGUAAAGCGCGUGCAGGUGGCUCGGUAAGUUGGGCGUGAAAUCUCCCGGCUCAACUGGGAGAGGUCGUUCAAUACUACCGAGCUUGAGAGCAGAAGAGGAAGAUGGAAUUCCCGGUGUAGUGGUGAAAUGCGUAGAUAUCGGGAGGAACACCAGUGGCGAAGGCGAUCUUCUGGUCUGUUUCUGACACUCAGACGCGACAGCUAGGGUAGUAAACGGGAUUAGAGACCCCGGUAAUCCUAGCCGUAAACGAUGUGAACUUGGCGUUGGUGGGUUAAACUCCAUCAGUGCCGAAGCAAACGCGAUAAGUUCACCGCCUGGGGACUACGGCCGCAAGGUUA
rnacentral:rRNA from 1 species